rnacentral:rRNA from 1 species
GCGAUCAUACCAGCACUAAUGCACCGGAUCCCAUCAGAACUCCGAAGUUAAGCGUGCUUGGGCGAGAGCAGUACUAGGAUGCGUGACCCCCUGGGAAGUCCUCGUGUUGCACCU